rnacentral:rRNA from 1 species
GGUCUCCGUAGGUGAACCUGCGGAGGGAUCAUUACACAAUAAAAUAUGAAGGCUGUACGCGGCUGUGCUCUCGGGCCAGUUUUGCGGAAGCUGAAUUAUUUAUUACCCUUGUCUUUUGCGCACUUGUUGUUUCCUGGGCGGGUUCGCCCGCCACCAGGACCACAUCAUAAACCUUUUUUAUGCAGUUGCAAUCAGCGUCAGUAUAACAAAUGUAAAUCAUUUACAACUUUCAACAACGGAUCUCUUGGUUCUGGCAUCGAUGAAGAACGCAGCGAAAUGCGAUACGUAGUGUGAAUUGCAGAAUUCAGUGAAUCAUCGAAUCUUUGAACGCACAUUGCGCCCUUUGGUAUUCCAAAGGGCAUGCCUGUUCGAGCGUCAUUUGUACCCUCAAGCUUUGCUUGGUGUUGGGCGUUUUUUGUCUUUGGUUGCCAAAGACUCGCCUUAAAAGGAUUGGCAGCCGGCCUACUGGUUUCGCAGCGCAGCACAUUUUUGCGCUUGCAAUCAGCAAAAGAGGACGGCAAUCCAUCAAGACUCCUUCUCACGUUUGACCUCGGAUCAGGUAGGGAUACCCGCUGAACUUAAGCAU